rnacentral:lncRNA from 1 species
AACGCGCAGAAAUGGUGGGGCAUAGGAGAACUCAAGGCAAGCCCACCUAUAAAUACACGAAGACGUCGACACCAUCGAAUGCCGCGGAUGAGGAUGCCACGCGUGAGGUACUAGCCAACCAUGUAACACCACCGACCGACACGCCACCUAAAUCAACACAGUAAAAAUCGACACGUAUAAUCCACUAGCACACCACGAAUUAUCAGCUCGGCAACAGUAACCGAUAAAUCUCAUAGGAAAAGAAAAGAAAAACACACAUGUGCGUGGAACCUUCAGAGAAGAGAAAAUUCAACAGGCCAGAAACCC